rnacentral:rRNA from 1 species
GGGCGCCUACGGGGGGCAGCAGUGGGGAAUAUUGCACAAUGGGGGAAACCCUGAUGCAGCAACGCCGCGUGAGUGAAGAAGUAUUUCGGUAUGUAAAGCUCUAUCAGCAGGGAAGAAAAUGACGGUACCUGACUAAGGAGCCCCGGCUAACUACGUGCCAGCAGCCGCGGUAAUACGUAGGGGGCAAGCGCUAUCCGGAUUUACUGGGUGUAAAGGGAGCGUAGACGGCAGCGCAAGUCUGGAGUGAAAUCCCAUGGCUUAACCAUGGAACUGCUUUGGAAACUGUGCAGCUAGAGUGCAGGAGG